rnacentral:lncRNA from 1 species
AAGAAAGUCAUAACCUCUCCUGUAAGUAUUCUCUAACCCUAAUUCUAAUCUAAUAUUGUACAAUGAUAAAACUAAUCCUCCCUCUCCAAUAAUAAAAAGUCUUUUCAAUAUUUAAAACUAAUAUACAAAUAGAAAUCCAAAACAAGAUAGGAUUUUCUCUCAAAAUUCGUAACUGACUUUGCUGCUCUGUUUUCGGGCCUUUUCAGUUGGACUUUGCUUCUUGGACCACUUCUGAAUUAAAGGAAAUUUCAAGAGCUUCGUGUGGGCUGUAAGAUCGUCCAAUUCUGACAUCCGGAACUCAAGAUAUGGCCCGAACAGUGCAGAAUUCGGGUAGAACCCAAUAAAUCCGAAUUUUAAUAGAAUUUAGCUACAAAAUAGCUAUUUUAGCUUCAAAUCCUUCUCAACUUGGAAUUCUUUAUUCCCUACAAUAAAACAUGAAAAUAUAUUAAAUAAAUAUUCAAAUCAGUGCAAAAUAUAAUUAAAUAUAAGAAUAAAAUCAUAUAAAAUAUAUAUAAAAAUAUAUUCUAUCAGGUUCUGUUCCGGCAAACCUUUGAGUGGUCGACUUAACUUUGGUGCCUCGAGAUUAAUGUUAUUAUGUUUAAAUAAAUGGAGGGAAUGAAUUUGAAAGCCGGAAUAAAAAUUUUAAAUACAGUAACAAUUCAAAAGUUUCAUUAAUCAUUUAGAAUAACAAUAAUUCUGGGCAAGAGUCGCUUAUCUCCGAGCCUCCAAUCGAGUAAACCAUUUUCCGAUCUCUUCACCGGCGAUUUUAUCUUUCCGACGCAACUUUCAGAUAUCGGUAAGCCUCUCGCCGAAUCAUUCUCUAAUUAUCUCGCAUCCGCUCAUUCACAAUUCAUCCAUUACACAAAUCUCUCGUUGUUAUUUUGUUGAAACAUAAAGUAUUAUAAUUUUCAAUUGAAUCUAACCAAAAUGAUCAUCGGGAAGUUAUAUUAAACAGACGUCUCUGUAUAUGUAGUUGGCCUUGUAGCAAAGACUUGUGUUAUUUGUUAAGUGAUUGUAUGAGGAUAGUUUGUUGAAUUAGAAGAUGCUAAAGUUCGUGUCUUAUCGUUUUUGGAUCUCUCUUUCUCGUGGGUUAUUGGCAGUGUGUUUUAUGUAUGUAAAUCGUGCUUUAGGUUAUUUCUUUGGAGUUGGUACUUGAUUGCUUUUUUGUGGUUUUUCUUAAAUUUGUGAUGUUUUAUACUUUAUAUGAAACUAGCUUGUUCUUUUUUUGUCUAAGACAUUCACAACUUGUAUCUUUUUCUUCUUCAUCAUCUAUUAAGUUUUAGUUUAAGUGUAGGUAUUCUUGAAUUAAUCUAAUCCAUCGAAUUGAGUAUGAUUGUAUGUGUGAUAGCAUUUUUUUACUUCUAUUUUUCUACUUUCUGCUUUGGACUGAUAAAAUGUAUCUGUUAGACUAUUUUGUGCAACCAGUCCACCUCUAUUAGAUUCCAUGAUUAUAAUAGUAAUGCCCCGUUACUACUAAUCUACAUAUGCUAAGCAGUACUUGAAAAUAAGAACGGUAAUGUUAAGUAGUUUUAGCUUCCUGAUUAAUUUUCCUUUUCAUUAAACAAAUAAGAAUGGACGAUCUUCAAACAUGAUUUUAAUUGAUUCCAAUAAUUAAGCUUGAUUAGUUUGUAUUAAUAUGUGAAAAUUGUAACCGAACAUGGGCUGUUAAUUUUACGUUCAAAUUUGGUAAUUUCAUUUUCAAAUUUUGUAACUCUCUUUUUAUGACAAUAAUGUGAGUCUUAAUGACCUUUUAUUGUGAACGUUAUUUAUGUUAAUCAUUAAUGUAAUUAAAUUGACAAUUCGUUUUUUUAGUCUAUAUUAGAUUAUAUAAUAUUCGGUACCAUUUAUGGGGGGUCAUUAUUGAUGACUUUAUUGUGCCGUUAAUGGCUUUCAGUGCCAUUUUUAUGGCUUGUAUUACCAUUUUGAUGGUCAUAGUAUAUAAUAUACUUAAUUGUUUUUUAAACUCUAUUUUAUACCUCAGUUAAAUUAUUAAAUUUUUAUGUGUCUAACCAAAGGAUUUUCCUUUGGUUAGAGAUUAAUUAAUAUUUCUACUUUAUUUUAUUUCUCUCUAUUUUGAUAUAUAUAUAUAUAUAUAUAUAUAUUCUUUCGUUUUUUUCUUUUUUUCUUUUUAUUAGAUUUACUAUCUUUUUUUCAUUAAUUAAAUAUAUAUAUAUAUAUAUAUAUAUAUAUAUAUAAUUUUUCUUGUAUAUUGAUAUAUGUUUUGUUUGGUUUGUUUCCUUUUUCAGUAUACUUUGGAGCUAGGUGUUUGUGACUUCUUUCAUCCUUCAUGGGUAUUCUUUUCUAAUUCAUUUAAGCUUUAUUGUCUAAGCGUCCGGAGUUGUGCUUGCAUGACUUUCGGUUAGAUGAUAAACUUUUUUGAAAGAAAGAUAUCCCAGAUGCGGUUUAUUGUAUUUCGAUACAAUUCAUCUACUUGUAUGUAGACCUUAAAAAAAAAAAGUUUCAUUAAUCAUUUCCUCAAUCCAUUACUUUUACGCCUGUCUGGAAAAAUCUUUUUCUUGCCUAAUUGUUUAAACAUAUCUUAAUCAUAUUAAGUUGCAC